rnacentral:lncRNA from 1 species
AAGUACCUACCACGCCACCCGCUACCUGUAAUAAUCCAUCUGAAGAGGUCGCCGGGCAGCGCCUCGGCAGACAGACUGACCUGCGGGGAGGCAGCACUGAGAAGUGAAGGAAUAUUUGGGAGGAUCAGAAGCUUGGUCCUGAUUUUGCCAUCAACAGGAACUUGAUGACUUCAAGGGAGUCCCCAAACCCUGGGUUUCUGUUUUCUCAACUCUAACAUGAGGGGCUAGAUGCAUCUGGUUUAGUUAGUCUCCAUGAUGGUUUAGUUCGUCUCCAUGAUCCUGUGAAUUUCAGAUGUUGAAAAUCUUCGGAAAAGCCCUGAAAGAUGAACAGUGGUCUCAAAUAGUCAAGACCCCCUGCUGGGAGGAGCUUCUAUCCUGCUCUGUGGAAGAAAUGGGCAUGCCAGAUGCCUGGAAGAUCAGAGGCUCACAUUCCAGCUGUAGGUGGCCCACCAGGUGUCAACAACUGUAGAGUUCCAUCAAGAGUCAUCAUUUUACAGUUACAAGUCGGAGGGGCCUUCACAGAUCCGUCAGGCUCAACACUGCCUCCUUAGUGAGCCUGUGAACCACCCAAGACGGCUGGUCAUCAGUGUCAUCCUCUUCCUUUUCCGGACAACUAUCUUUAAAAGAAAAAAAAAGAGUGUC